UGUUUUUCAGUUUCUGUUUUCCUACUCUCCGCGGCUCUGCCUGUUUCCUUUGAAUUUCUUAAAUUGUUUUCUCAGAUCUUCAUCUCUUUGUUAGGUUUUCGUAUGUCGAUUCUCAGGUUUACUAUAGAUCUAUAGAAUAUCGAAAGUUUGAUACAACUUUUAAAAGAUUUCAUGUUAGAUUGUUUGUGGUCUCUCGUUUUUGGUUUUGCAGGUGAUUUGAUGGCGAGGUUUCUAUCAAUUAAGAUGGACAGUUCUGUUCAUAUGUUUCUUUGGUGAAGUUGGAUCUUGGUUUCAGAUGAGAAAGCAGAGGUGAACCGAUAUGGUGUAUAUCAGUAAUUGUUGAUUCAUGAUGUAAAGAUAGAGAUCCAGAGGCUUGCUCAUUUGUUGAUUGAUUGAUGAUAGAUUGGUGAGGCUUUGAGGUUAAAAGAUGAGAUGUGAUAGAGAUCCAGAGGCUUUCUUUGUCAUCCCGACCUUUGCCAUGACAGGUGCGCUUGCUUGGCAGGUCAACCAAACCCUAAUAAAAAAAUUGAUUUGUGGUUUAGCAGGGAGUUCGCACGGGGUGUUUUUUGCCCGGGUUCUCCCUUGUUGUUUGUCUGUGCUGUCACUCUCUUGCUACGAUUCUUGAAUUGUCUCAACGUGUUACUCCAGUAUCAACAAUAACGAUUAUCCAAUCCCACCGAUGAUGAAUCUCAAAUGAAUUUCACAGCAAUGCUGCAGUUUAACCUCAAGGUUACAAGUUUAUUUAAUUUUGAAAAAUGGAUGUUUGCUAGUCACCUGAAACAAGUGAAGAAUUGAAGCCCUGUGUGUAAUUGAAUACUGCGAAGUCUAUAUGUACCAAGGUCGAAUCAUUGUCGAAGCAUUUGUUGCUUCAGCUGGGUGGGUUCUGUUAGAGAUGGUUUUUCAUUUGUUGUGGCAUAGUAUCUUUUGAGAGCAGGUUUGGUUGUGGCAUGGUAUCUUUUGAGAGCAGGUUUGGAACUGGUAAACGUUGUAAUGGUAUCAAAAGUUUGUGUAAUAUUAUUGAUGUUACACAGAUGUAUCACUCUUAGGCAACUGCUAGAAGAUGUCAUCCGAAACUGUUUCAUACAGCUGCCUGAAAGUUUGAGUGCUGCUGAGUAUUGGCCGGUAAACUUCUGUAGACUUUAGGAACUGCGGAGUGUUCUUAUUUUGUUGAUAAACUUCUGCAGACGUAGACCUUAGGAACUGCGGAGUGUUCUUGUUUUGUUGGCAUUUCAUUUCAUGUAUAAGUGAUCUGGAGUUUUUGCUGGUAGGCUUGGUCUGCUUUUGGUAAUUACCUGGAUUAUUUAAAGAAUUUGUUUUUUGGAUGGA